rnacentral:rRNA from 1 species
UACGUAGGGCGCAAGCGUUAUCCGGAAUUAUUGGGCGUAAAGAGCUCGUAGGCGGUUUGUCGCGUCUGCCGUGAAAGUCCGGGGCUCAACUCCGGUUCUGCAGUGGGUACGGGCAGACUAGAGUGCAGUAGGGGAGACUGGAAUUCCUGGUGUAGCGGUGAAAUGCGCAGAUAUCAGGAGGAACACCGAUGGCGAAGGCAGGUCUCUGGGCUGUAACUGACGCUGAGGAGCGAAAGCAUGGGGAGCGAACAGG